rnacentral:lncRNA from 1 species
AAAACUCACUUUAAUUCUUUCAAAAUCCGUUCAUGUUUUUUAACUUCCCGUUCAUGUUUUUAAUAAAACAGAAAAUUACCGUUUGGCGGUCACGCGCGAACACUUUAGCUGCGAACAGGCAUAUUCUGGGAAGGAAACUUUGUGUAAACGUAUUACAUAGCUCCCAGAAGAAUAAAAUCACCAUUUUUUCAAGUAAAACGGUCUUUUUUAUAGAGAGUUUUUCCACUAAACUCGGACAGAUUUAAAAAAAAAAAUAAAAAAUUGGAGGUCGGGGACUUUUAUCAGGUCGGGCGGGGACGCUAAACAAGUAAUUUUUUUUAUGUGGCCUAAGUACGUUAUACCCCUCGUUGCCUCAAAAUAACCUAUACACAUAGGCAGGUAUAAUAGUCGGACCGGAUCGCCAGUCCGCGUCGGAUCGCCAGUCCGCGUCGGAUCAGGUCGGAUCGUGCAGGUAUAAAAGUCGGACCCGAUUGUGGUCCGGGUCGGAUCAUGCAGGUACAAAAAUCGGACCGGAUCCAUAGAUGACCGAAUCGCUAGUCCGGAAUUAAAGGAAAUAAAAUAUUGAUAAGGCAGUUCGAUGCAAUAAUUUUCAAAAAAGUGGUCUAAAAAUCUAAUAACAUAAAAUGUUUUACCUUCGUCGCCAUCCAUUUUGCAAAUUUGCCACGCUGUUUCACGCUGUGUAAAUAACGCGGGAAAGAAUGCAAACUUCCAUUUGUGUAAGUAACAUUUCCCUGAAUAUCCUGAUAUUUCUAAAUUUUCUAAAGAUCCGACCUAAUCCGACUUGGUCCGACCUGAUCCGACCCGGACCACAAUCCGGUCCGACUUUUAUACCUGCCUUAUACAUAUUCGUUUAUGACUCACGCUACAUUCCUUACGUUACGAAUAAAAAUCAGGGCCUUUUUUAACUAUGUAACUGAGCCAAAGCCCCCCCAGCCACCAUGGUGCCCUUCCCCACUCAACCAUUUCGCCUCCAUCCCCCCCCCCCCCGGUUUAAAGUUUAAAGCUUAUUAUUAUCAGUUAAAGUCUUUUUUUCUCUAAAACAUAAGCAAAAUAUUUGAAGAAAAAUAGAAUUUAGAAGGGAGGUUUGAUAUUCUUGUAAAUGAAUUGUGUUGAAAAUACCUUAGAUUUCAAAAAUUUUCAAGUGGACAGCAUAUCUCAGACCCUAUAUAGAUUUGAGUUGUCUGAAGGCUAGACUAAGUUACGUUAGUGACCGAGUUGUGGUAUUUACAUAAACAUACCAUGCAAGUACUUAACUGAAGAUUCAGUCUGUCUGCCGAAUAUAAUGUAACGCUGUUGUUCCACAAAUCUGUUUCAGAAAACGCACCAAAUGCAGUCCUCGGGUUGGAGAAAUACAAACAUUUUCUGGGGGAGGAAUACCCCCAGACCCCCUACUAUUACAUACAACUUUUUGCCACCAACAACCAAUGGUCUCUUUUUGUAGACCCCCCGGACGAAUUCAUGAUGGUGUGUAUAUAUUGUUACCAUGGAUUUUUAUCAAACCAAAAUGGCGGCGAAAUUAAAAUUCGGCAAACGAUUUUAUUUAGUAAAUUUGAACACAAAGUUUGGUAAUAAACCGCCAGAAUAAAUUAUUAAUGAAAUGAUAAUAAAUGGCAUUUAUUCCAUUCAACAUUAUCGUAAUAACAUAUCUUUACGCCCGCCAUUUUGCUUUGAGAAUUGUGAAUUCGCAUCAUUUAAAAGUCCUUUACAAAUGACCUGUUUACUUGUACGUGCAACUCUGCAUUAAAUUUCAUAAAUUCCAUCGAGUGAUCACGACACGCAAUGAGGCGGUUUGACAGAUGGAAUUCAAUGAAAACCAAAUGCAAUUCAAUGGGAAAAAUCUCCAAGUCCCACAGCUUGCAAUGGAACUUUUAUUAGGAAUUAAAAACGCAUUAAUAAUUCAUGAGGAAAAC